GCCGGCGUAGCACAACGGUAGUGCAUCGGUUUUGUAAACCGAAGGUUGUGGGUUCGAUUCCCACCGCCGGCU
rnacentral:tRNA from 1 species